rnacentral:rRNA from 1 species
GUAGGUGGCAAGCGUUGUCCGGGAAUUAUUGGGGGCGUAAAGCGCGCGCAGGCGGUUCUUUAAGUCUGAUGUGAAAGCCCACGGGCUCAACCGUGGAGGGUCAUUGGAAACUGGAGAACUUGAGUACAGAAGAGGAAAGCGGAAUUCCACGUGUAGCGGUGAAAUGCGUAGAGAUGUGGAGGAACACCAGUGGCGAAGGCGGCUUUCUGGUCUGUAACUGACGCUGAGGCGCGAAAGACGUGGGGAGGCAAACAGGAUUAGAUACCCUCGGUAGUCCACGCCGUAAACGAUGAGUGCUAAGUGUUAGGGGGGUUUCCGCCCCUUAGUGCUGCAGCUAACGCAUUAAGCACUCCGCCUGGGGAGUACGGCCGCAAAGGCUGA